CGGAGCGAAUACAGGUCCUAUCGUAUCUGGCAUCCUACCUGCGCUCGAUGCGUAGCCUGUACUCGCCUACCCCCCGUCCACUACCCCGUGACCAGGCUCCCCCGACCAUCCCCAUCCACAAUUCGAAUCAGGCAGACGCGGCUGCAUCGAGCGGAGGAACCACGCCCUCCACAUCCACGCGCCUGGAUCCCUAGGUUGCUUCACGAUUCAACGAUGAAUCUCAGUGCAGAUUCAUUCACGGAUCUCCUCUUCAGAUUCUGUUCCCAUCCGGUUGCAACAGAGGGCGUCCCGGAUCUGGGAUUGCUAGAGGGGGAGGAGGAGGAGGAGGAGGAGCACGAAGAGCGCAUCCAUCCUAAUUUCCAGAACCAUUCUCCUUCAUCAAGCCAAGAUGGAGAGAAAUAUGGUGCCACAGAUUUAGGAACUCCUCCUCCUCAUGCCAUGCCAGAUUUCUCCAACGUCCCAUAUAUUGACGACAACAAAGAGACUUCGCCUGAAUUGCAUCCCACUCCAGUUCCGUGGACUCAAAGGGUCCGACUUGGCAAAAUUCAUGACAGCCGUGCCACAUUAUCGAGAAGGAGAAGUGCUUUGGAAAAGGCCGUGAGAAAUUACGCAGAUAAGAAGUCAGAGUUCGUCGUCAAGCCAGAGAUCAGUCAGGAAUUUGAUUCUUUGGCCGAUGCUUACAACUUCUACAACAUAUUCUUUGGCUGAAGUUCCAGAGGCCAUGCCAGACUUCUGGCCUUCCAACUCUGUGGCUGGGAAGGGUCUUUGACUCAUGAAAUCGUAUGUGUAGAAAUUGUUAAAGGAAACUUAUCGGCAGCUGAUGGUUGCAUGGUGGCUUGGGUUACAAGAUCAGGCCACAACUGAGCUGCAUGACCAAGAUAUGCCUGUCAUACCAGGAGCAACUAUUCUAUGAAGCUCAAUGAAUGUAGUACCGCGCAAGAGGGAUCGAAGCAGGCCAAUGAACAUAAGAGAAAAGCUAGGUUAUGAUAAUGCCAGCAAGCCAAGAUCAAAGUUUUGUUCUAUUUGCAGAGGUAAGGGCCACAUCGCAUCCUAAUACCCCUCAAAGGGAGAUGUACCAAAGACACAAAGGAAAGUCCCAAGGUGUACAAAGUGUGGCCUUGCAGGCCAUGAGUGAAUUUCGUGCUCGAUAAGAAUGUUCAUUUUGUUGUCGGAAGAUGAAAUUGGUGUUACGAAAGAUGUUGUAGGCUUUCUUUUGUUGUGCUGUUUUGAAAGAUGAAAUUGGUGUUGUUGGCUUUCUUUUGUUGUCGAAAAUUAGGUUUAUGUUGUGGCCCAGUAGUGAAUAUGUAAACUCGGAAAUGUUAUCCGGAUGUGUAAAGUUAGUUGUGGUACUUAUUUCAGUACAAGUGCAACUCAAAUUGAACCUUUGAUGUUCCUUUCUGCAAAAAAUCUACCUAUGCUUGUUGUUGUUCA